CCCUUAGAUGUUCUGGGCUGCACGCGCGCUACACUGUCGGAUUCAGCGAGUCAUAUCCUUAACCGAAAGGUUUGGGUAAUCUUUUGAAAGUCCGACGUGAUGGGGAUUGAUCAUUGCAAUUAUUGAUCAUGAACGAGGAAUUCCUAGUAAGCGCGAGUCAUCAGCUCGCGUUGAUUACGCCCCUGCCCUUUGUACACACCGCCCGUCGCUACUACCGAUUGAAUGGUUUAGUGAGAUCUUCGGAUUGGCGCCUACGCGGCUUCUCUGAGGCCACGCUGGAUGCCGAAAAGUUGCUCAAACUGUAUCAUUUAGAGGAAGUAAAAGUCGUAACA
rnacentral:rRNA from 1 species